rnacentral:rRNA from 1 species
GCCAGACUCCUACGGGAGGCAGCAGUGGGGGAUAUUGUACAAUGGGGGAAACCCUGAUGCAGCGACGCCGCGUGGGCGAAGAAGUAUUUCGGUAUGUAAAGCCCUAUCAGCAGGGAAGAAGAAAUGACGGUACCUGAGUAAGAAGCACCGGCUAAAUACGUGCCAGCAGCCGCGGUAAUACGUAUGGUGCAAGCGUUAUCCGGAUUCACUGGGUGUAAAGGGAGCGUAGACGGCGACGCAAGUCUGGAGUGAAAGCCCGGGGCCCAACCCCGGGACUGCUCUGGAAACUGCGUCGCUGGAGUACGGGAGGGGCAGGCGGAAUUCCUGGUGUAGCGGUGAAAUGCGUAGAUAUCAGGAGGAACACCGGCGGCGAAGGCGGCCUGCUGGACCGUGACUGACGUUGAGGCUCGAGAGCGUGGGGAGCAAACAGGAUUAGAUACCCCAGUA